UACGUAGGGCGCAAGCGUUGUCCGGAAUUAUUGGGCGUAAAGAGCUCGUAGGCGGCUUGUCGCGUCGAUUGUGAAAGCCCGGGGCUUAACUCCGGGUCUGCAGUCGAUACGGGCAGGCUAGAGUGUGGUAGGGGAGAUCGGAAUUCCUGGUGUAGCGGUGAAAUGCGCAGAUAUCAGGAGGAACACCGGUGGCGAAGGCGGAUCUCUGGGCCUUACCUGACGCUCAGGCGCGAAAGCUAGGGGAGCGAACUGG
rnacentral:rRNA from 1 species